rnacentral:snRNA from 1 species
AUAUUUCUGAAAGGUGACCCCAGGGAGAGACGCUGCCAUUGCACUGCGGUAGUGUUGACCCCUGCCACUACCCCAAACUGGGGCAGAUGGGGCAUGCAAUUUUUGGUAGUGGGGGACUGCGUUCGCGCUAUCCCCUU